rnacentral:lncRNA from 1 species
AAAAUCAGAGUCAAGACUGUCUGCUGACUCCUUAUCAUCACAGACUGUGGUCCUUUUCCUUGCUUUUCUUGUCUUCAUUGGAUGACAUCUUGAUAACUUGCUCUUGUCGACAGUUGCUUCAACAACCUCAUUCUCAACUAGUCCCUCAGUUACUGUAUUGGACCUUUGGUCUUCUUUAUCACGUGUCUUAUUUACAUUUUUG